GACCUUUUAUUCUCUAAGGUUUGACCUCGGAUCAGGUGGGGAUACCCGCUGACUUAAGCAUAUCAAUAAGCGGAGGAAAAGAAACCAACAGGGAUUGCCCUAGUAACGGCGAGUGAAGCGGCAACAGCUCAGAUUUGAAAUCUGGCGUCUUUGGCGUCCGAGUUGUAAUCUGUAGAGGAUGCUUUUGGGUAGCCACCGGUCUAAGUCCCCUGGAACGGGGCGUCACAGAGGGUGAGAAUCCCGUAUGUGACCGGAAGGGCACCCUCCACAUAGCUCCUUCGACGAGUCGAGUUGUUUGGGAAUGCAGCUCUAAAUGGGAGGUAAAUUCCUUCUAAAGCUAAAUACCGGCCAGAGACCGAUAGCGCACAAGUAGAGUGAUCGAAAGAUGAAAAGCACUUUGGAAAGAGAGUUAAAAAGCACGUGAAAUUGUUGAAAGGGAAGCGCUUGCAACCAGACUUGUUGGCGGUGUUCCGCCGGUCUUCUGACCGGUUCACUCACCGUCUGCAGGCCAGCAUCAUCUGGGGCCGCCGGAUAAAAGCGAGGGGAAUGUGGCUCCCCCGGGAGUGUUAUAGCCCCUCGUGCAAUACGGCGGAGUCUCGG
rnacentral:rRNA from 1 species